rnacentral:lncRNA from 1 species
GGUAGAAUUGUUGUCAAAUCUGGGAUGACUUUUAUCCAUUUGCUGUACAAGCUAUAAGAUUACAAGACUUUUUUUUUUUUUUUUUUUUUUUUUUUUUGNUUUUUUUUUAUGGUCACUUGUAUUAACUCUACUUUGCAUUGAUGACAUCAGGAAUGUUCUUGGAAGGUGUUAUUACUCCAGGGCAGCUUAAUGGUAUCUGUCAGCCCGGAAACCAUUAUAAACAUAUUCCACUAAGGCUAAACCAAGUGUAUGCUUAGUCUAAAUGUCCCAAAGCCAAAUUCCAAUGAAGUGUCCCUCCACCAUUGCGCCCAUGUCACCGGAACUGUGACAGGGGGCAGACUGGAGCAGCAAGAGACAGUCAUCUUAGCUGAUUGCAACAAAAGUAUCUUGCUUUUUUGCAAAUGUUACAGCAACACCUGACCCUAUGCUUACACUGCUGGGACCCUUUCAGAAGGGCCUUGGAAGGGCCCCAUUACCUCUGCAUGUGAAUACUUACAAAAUCCCCUGGAUAAGGAACCUGGGAUAGUACAUCCUGGUUUAUUUCUCUUCUCUGCUAGACCUUUAAAUAUUUGGAAUAAUUUUCCCCUUGAAAUAGGCCUUAAGAAUACUUGCCCCAGGAAUCAUUACAUUUCCUUCCAUCUUUGCAGUGGUUUACAGUUUGCAGGAGCUCACAAUGCUUUAUUUCAUCUCCUCUCCAGCCCUGUGAGCUAGACAGGGCCAGUGUUAUUCCUGUUUGCAAAUAAGGAAGCAGGCGCGCAGCUUGCCAGGGUUUUUUCCAUCUGCCUUUCAGGAGGAGCGUUUGCCCCAGGAGAGAUCUAGGUGUGAUUGGGAGGCCACGGGGCACCCAUCCAGAGGCUGGGACCGUGCCAGCCCCAGCUGGAGGCUGGCCCUGAGUUCUGUCUUCAGCCUUGCCGAGCCUCAGUUUCCUCAUUUGUCAAGAGAUGAUCUCGAAGUGAUGUAUAAAUUCAGGCCCUUUUCCUACACUCGCCUCUGCUUGAUCCAGAGGCGGCUGCCUGCCUCUUGUCUUACAUCCAAAUAAGAGAAAUGGACCGUUUAUUCUUCUUGUUCCUCUGACUGCUGAUAUUCUUUUAUUUCCUGGCAUCGUUCUGACACCCUAUCAGUGUCUCUAAGCCCUGAGCGGGCUGGAUCAUUGUGGAAGUUGUUUCCGUGCUCCUUUGAUUUCAAAAGCAGAGCUCAGCCCAGCAGGUAUUUAAGCCCCAGGAUCUCCCCAGACGCUCCCGCCUUGGGCUCACGGGCCCAGGGGCAGUACGGUGGCCCUGCCUUCUGGACACUCCCCUGACUACGGUUCUGCUGCGUCGUCUCUGGCUUUGAUGCCGGUCUUCACCUGGAAAUUCAGAGGGUCCCGCGAUUUCAGAACUGGCGAGGGCAAUGCACCCUGCUGCUAGAAGCCUGCCUGGAAGGUGCAGGAGAGAGGAGUUCACGGACCCCCGGGAACAUUUUGGUUCUGGAUGUAUUUCUUUUGAUGAGGCUGGCCUUUCAUCAGAUUUUUCUUUAAAGGAUUUAUUUAAAGUAACAGUAAAAAAUGAUUUGGUUCCUGUAGUUGAAAAGGACCGUAAACGACAUAAUUCCACGUGCCUGUUUUACAUAUGGGGCAACUGAGGUCCGGGUAUGACAGGGCCUGGAUCCUUAGGUGGUGUGUCUUUUUCUUUUCAAUCUCAUUUUGUGUCAAAUUAUCAGAAUCAUUAUUGAGCAUAUUUAAUAAGGUAGUGAUUACAUUUUAAUAUUAUGGGUUUUUUUAGCCUUUACGUAUCUUUACUUAUAAUAAUUUUGUGUGUGACUCGAGAUCGCUUUGUACGUAGUUCAAUAUUUAGAUUUAUUUCUUAGUUUUCUUUUCUCCUUUUUCAAAAUGUUAUGCUUUUACUAGAUAAAAUGCACAUCCCAUAAAAUUCAUCAUUUGAACCAUUUUCAAGUGUAUGAGCCAGUGGAUUUUAGCAUCUUCACACAUGGCAUGUAACCAUCACCACCAUUUAAUUCUAGAACAUUUUCAUCACUCUCAGAAAGAAACCCCAUGUCCAUUAGCUGGUGAAUAGCCCAUUUUUAAAGAUGUGCUAAAUCAUGGUGCUGAGGAUGUGCUUCUGUGUGUGUGUGUGUGGUUUCCUCUAGCGGGUGGACAUCUUUGGCUUGGUGAUAAGAGUCUGCGGAGAGGUUUCUGUCCAGGUGGGAGGUCCAGGAAUAUGCUCAUUUUGGGAAGCUGCCCUGAUUGCAGAGCCUUCUUUCUCACGGCAGAUGCUGUAAGGAGGAGCUGGGGAAAGGGCUCUAGGGAGACCGGUGAUGGGUGGGGAGGCAGAGAGGAGACUGCGGACGCCCCUGUGCGUUCUGAGCCUCCGCGGUGAGCCAGACCAGCACAGCAAGGAGAGAGCUGAGCCGCAGAGGGGCCGUGAGCCAAGGUCCUGGGUGGCUGGGCUAUGAAAAGCUCCCUCCACAAUUUUGACAAAAGCACUACUGUCGGCUGGUCAUGUCCUGUUUUAGAUCUGUAGCUCUGUCUCUGAAAACCCUCCCUGAACUUCCAUUUGCACACGUUACGCAUUUCUUUCUGCAUCUCUCGGCUGUGGGUUGCCCACUCUUGUCCUCCUGACUCGAGAACUGCAUGCGUUUCUAAAAGGUGAUCAUGGACAAUAUCAGUAGAUAGAGGUAAUGCUGGACACAGUGCUUAUCUAGGCUUUCUGCCUGCUGUGUGGCCCUGGCCAAGGCACUUACCUUCUCUGGGCUUUGAUUUUUCUCAUUUUUUUAAAAAAAUAUUUUAUUGGCGUGUGGUUGAUUUACAAUGUUGUGUUAAUUACUGCUCUAUAGCAAAGUGAUGCAGUUGUACACACACACACACACACACACACAGGAUUGGUUCNUCUUUACUACUAGUUUGCAUCUGCUAAUCCCAAACUCCCAAUUGAUUUGCUAAUUUUGAAGUGAGUGAGUUGGAAUAGAUGAUCGGGAAGUAAUAAUACCCACUUCAAGAUUAAAGGAGACAGUACAUGAAGGUCCUUUGUCACAAUGCCUGGCACAAGGCCUAGGUACCCUCAAAUAGGUAUUAGUAGAGAUAUAGUUAUUAAUACGUUCACCUUGAUAAACUGGUUUAUCUCUCCAGAGUUAACUCCCAGUUUCCCCAACACCAUUUGAUAAAUAAUGGACUUCUUCAUUUGUAAUGCCUUUUUUUAAUCAUUUAUCGUAUAUUAAAUUCUUAUGUAUUCUUGGCCUGCUACUGGACUGGAAUACUAUUUAGCUAUAAAGGGCAUGAAGUUCUAGUGCAUUCUGCAAUGUGGAUGAAUCUCAAAAACAUUAUACGGAGUUCCCGUCCGUUGCUCCAAGAUACUAAAAAGUUUAAUAAACCAUAAUCAGAAAAAUUAUAUUGUUCUAAUAAAAUGAUCAGCAAACAGACCAAGAGAACAAAACCAGUCCAGAGCACCUAGACCUGCCCCUAAGUUUACAAAUGAGCAGCUUGCGCCCUGGAGGGCGAAGGACCUGUGAAGAGUGGGUCCUGCCUAGAUCAAUGCACUUGGCAUAUUCCUAACUUUCCUCCUGGGCAUUGUUUUGAUUGGCUGGAGCUAAAUUCUUCUGUCAUGAGCCCUUGUGUACAGAGAGCGUGGGAACUUCCCUUUAUAAAGUUACCUCCAAUGAACUAGAUGCUCAUCAAACUCAUGAAUUCCUUGCCAUUGUGAGACCUAUAAGGUGGGGGUUACCUGCCCCAUGGAACAGAUAAGGAAACUGAGGCUUCUGCCAAAAGGAUUUGCAACACUCUGCUUUUCCUCCCCACCCUGCGCAUCCAUAAUAUUACAACCUUGUUUUUUGUGGUGUCGAUUCAGAGGUGUCAGCUGUAAACCAGGCACUGAGCACACAUUUUCUGCCUUCGAGGGGUGUGUGGGCUGCCCGGUGAUGUCAUCGGUGCUGUUUCCUCUACGGUGGGAGCCUUGAUGGGGUUGAUGCAGAGACGAUGGAUGUUGGAGAGAACGCCAAGUGUCAGUGCGGGCGGGCGGGGGGAGGUGGUGGGCGCAGAGCUGUGUGUCCUUCAUGUGCUGGUGCUUUUGGUUCUCUGGAGACAAUGAUUCACCCUCAUAAUACAGCAUCCCAGAGCCGGCCCUUCCUUCAAGCCUGGCACCGAUGGAGAAAAAUGCUUGCUAUGUUCAAUCAGACUUUUGAGGGCGAUGAUUUAAAUUGCUUUGAUAACUCCUCUGGGAGUUGGGGCUCCUUUUAAUAAUUGAGGGUGGAAGGAUGUGUGCUCUCAUUACAGAGAGAAGGUGGAUUUGGGCCCCAGCCUUGAAGCAUUUCUUUCUGCAAGGAGACUUGUUGAGUUUAAAAAUUGAGAUGAGGAGUUCCCGUCGUGGCGCAGUGGUUAAUGAAUCCGACUAGGAACCAUGAGGUUGCGGGUUCGAUCCCUGCCCUUGCUCAGUGGGUCAAGGUUCUGGUGUUGCCGUGAGCUGUGGUGUAGGUCGCAGACGUGGCUUGGAUCCUGCGUUG